UUGGAGGGCAAGUCUGGUGCCAGCAGCCGCGGUAAUUCCAGCUCCAAUAGCGUAUAUUAAAGUUGUUGCAGUUAAAAAGCUCGUAGUUGAAUUUCGGGAUUAGCAGGUCGGUCGUGCCACUGGUACGUACUGGUCUUGCUGAUUCCUCCCUCUUGACGAGCCGUAAUGCCAUUAAUUUGGUGUUGCGGGGAAUCAGGACUGUUACUUUGAAAAAAUUAGAGUGUUUAAAGCAGGCAUGCGCUUGAAUACAUUAGCAUGGAAUAAUGAAAUAGGACGUUCGAUCUUAUUUUGUUGGUUUCUAGGAUUGACGUAAUGAUUAAUAGGGAUAGUUGGGGGCAUUAGUAUUCAAUUGUCAGAGGUGAAAUUCUUGGAUUUAUUGAAGACUAACUACUGCGAAAGCAUUUGCCAAGGAUGUUUUCAUUAAUCAAGAACGAAAGUUAGGGGAUCGAAGACGAUCAGAUACCGUCGUAGUCUUAACCAUAAACUAUGCCGACUAGGGAUCGGAUGAUGUUAUUUUUAAUGACUCAUUCGGCGCCUUACGGGAAAC
rnacentral:rRNA from 1 species